UGGUGCAUGGUUGUCGUCAGCUCGUGUCGUGAGAUGUGGUUAAGUCCGCAACGAGCGCAACCCCUAUUGUUAGUUGCCAUCAUUCAGUUGGGCACUCUAGCGAGACUGCCGGUAAUAAACCGGAGGAAGGUGGGGAUGACGUCAAAUCAUCAUGCCCCUUAUGACCUGGGCUACACACGUGCUACAAUGGUUGGUACAACGAGUUGCGAGUCGGUGACGGCGAGCUAAUCUCUUAAAGCCAAUCUCAGUUCGGAUUGUAGGCUGCAACUCGCCUACAUGAAGUCGGAAUCGCUAGUAAUCGCGGAUCAGCACGCCGCGGUGAAUACGUUCCCGGGCCUU
rnacentral:rRNA from 1 species